rnacentral:rRNA from 1 species
GUGUCAGCCGCCGCGGUAAUACGAAGGGGGCUAGCGUUGCUCGGAAUGACUGGGCGUAAAGGGCGCGUAGGCGGUUUGUUUAGUCAGGCGUGAAAUUCCUGGGCUUAACCUGGGGGCUGCGCUUGAUACAGGCAGACUUGAGUGUGGAAGAGGGUCGUGGAAUUCCCAGUGUAGAGGUGAAAUUCGUAGAUAUUGGGAAGAACACCGGUGGCGAAGGCGGCGACCUGGUCCAUUACUGACGCUGAGGCGCGAAAGCGUGGGGAGCAAACAGGAUUAGAAACCCCCGUAGUCC